GUUGCUUCUCAGCCUUUUGGCUAAGAUCAAGUGUAGUAUCAUAUCUGUGAAAGUCCACAACUUGAAUGUUCUUAAAAUGGGGACUUACUGUAGUUACAGAAGGGUAAAAUAGUAACUUUA
ensembl:snRNA U2 U2 spliceosomal RNA